AUUGGGGAACAAACCACUGCGUUCGACCUUCACUCUUCACACGCGGAACCAUUGGGGCUGUGGAAACCUCCUUGAUUGGUGGUAGAAGCGCUUCCGCAUUCAACACAUGCAUAUGCCCCUGUCCGUGGAGGUUAUUGUGAACAAAACAGCGUGUCCAAAGCAACCACAUGUCUGGCUGAAUGAUCUAGCAUGGAAUAACAAGGCAUCGACCACUGGAGUCAGCCUUUUUGUUGGUUUUACAUGACCCAGUUGGGCAAUGCAGGGCUUGUGCUUCAUUGAGGUUCUUAGUCAGCUCUACCGAACUGUCUUCCCUCAGUUGGACCUUGUUCCCUAUCGGGAUCAAUGGAAGCCAUCGGGGUGGUAUGUAUUCCGACGUGAGCGGUGAAAUGCUUAGACCGUUGGAAGACAAACGACAGCGAAGGCAUUCCGCCAGAAUGUUUUCAUUAAUCAAGAACGAGAGUGUGGGGAUCGAAGAUGAUCAGAUACCAUCGUAGUCCAUUACCGUAAACUAUGCCAACUCGGCAUUGGGAGUCUGUUCACUUUGAAGACUCUCCCAGCAUCAUCCCCCAAUAACGAGAAAUCCAAGUCUAUGGGUUCAGGGGGGAGUACAGUCGCAAGGCUGAAACUUAAAGGAAUUGACGGAAUGACACCACAAGGCGUGGAGUAUGCGGCUUAAUUUGACACAACACGGGGAAGCUUACCAGGUCAGACACAGUAAGGAUUGACAGAUUGAGAGCUCUUUCUUGAUCCUAUGGAUGGUGGUGCAUGGCCGUUUCUGGUUCGUGGAGUGAUCUGUCUGCUUAAUUGCGAUAACGAACGAGAUCUCUACCUCUAAAUAGGCGCCGGUCUCGCAUGUAAGUAGGGAUGUGUUGGGGGCCUUCGUGUCCCCUCAUGUCCUGAGAGUGCCGGGAUCGCUUCUUAGACGGACUGUGCAUGUCUUUAAUGCACGGAAGAGGGAGUCAAUAGCAGGUCUGUGAUGCUCCUAGAUGUUCUGGGCUGCACGCGCACUACACUGGCACAGUAAACGAGUUGCACCUGCUUCGGCAGUCCUGCUUAGAAGUGAGCGUGGGAAAUCUUAGAAAACUGUGCCGUGCUGGGGAUAGAUGUUUGCGAUUAUUUGUCUUGAACGAGGAAUGCCUAGUAGAGGUACUUCAUCAGAGUACCUUGAUUGUGUCCCUGCCAUUUGUACACACCGCCCGUCGUUGCUACCGAUUGGCUGUAAAAUAGAGGCCUUAAGAGUCGCUUCCGCAAAGCUUUGCUUUUGAGGUUGUGACAAAUCUGGCCAAUAUUUCAUUGCUAGAGGAAGCAAAAGUCGUAACAAGG
rnacentral:rRNA from 1 species